GAUGAACGCUGGCGGCGUGCCUAACACAUGCAAGUCGAACGGAAAGGCCCUGCUUUUGUGGGGUGCUCGAGUGGCGAACGGGUGAGUAACACGUGUGUAACCUGCCCUUGUCUUUGGGAUAACUUCAGGAAACUGGGGCUAAUAUCGUAUAGGAUAUCAUGCACCAUGGAGGGGGUUGGAAAGUUGCGGCGGUAGGGGAUGGACUCGCGGCUUACCAGCUUGUUGGUGGGGUAGUGGCUUACCAAGGGUUUGACGGAUACGCGGCCUGUGAGGGUGGACGGGGACAAGAGGACUGCGGGACGGCGCAGUGUCGAACGGUAGGCAACGGUCGGAAGUCUUACACAGUGAUCCCGAGCGUGAGACGACGGCGCUGCGUUCGGAAAGACGUCCUUCGGGUUAAGAACCGCUGUCGCCUGUGACGAAGCGUUAGUGACGGUAAUGAAUAAAGAAGCACCGGCUAACUACGUG
rnacentral:rRNA from 1 species